rnacentral:ncRNA from 1 species
GAAAAGUUUUAUUCUUGCUUAUGAAUUUACUUCAACAUUAUUAUAUAUGUAAGGUUUUUCGUAAAUUAUUUUAUUCUGGAUGUGUAUAUAAAUAAUUAUUGCAGUAUAAGAUAUUAUUAAUUUGGGUAACCUUGAAUUAGUAAUUGUUUAUAGUAUUGAUUAAUCAUGUGCCAGCAAUCGCGGUUAUACAUGGGAUAUAAGUAAAUAUUAUUAGUUAAAGUAGUUGAUUUGUUUAUAGGUUGAAUACAUAUUGAUUAUUUAGGGGUAAAAUAUUUAAAUUUUUGUCUAGGUUUAUUUAAAUUGAAUGAAGCUGUGAAAUCUAAAAACUUAAACUAGGAUUAGAUACCCUAUUAUUUUAGAUGUAAAUUAUUUGAACUUGAGUAGUAUUAGUUAAGGUCUUGAAACUUAAAGAAUUUGGCGGUAUUUUAGUCUAUUUAGAGGAAUCUGUCCCGUGAUCGAUGAUCCACGUUGGACCUUACUUAAUUUAUAAUAAUAUGUAUAUCGCCGUUUAGAGCUAGUUCUAUAAGGUUAAUUUUUUCAAUAUUUGUAAGAUAAGUUUUCAGGUCAAGGUGCAGUUUAUAAUUAAGUGGGAGAUGGAUUACAAUAUUAAUUAAAUAUACGGAUUGUUGUUUGAAAUAAUAACAUGAAGGCGGAUUUAAUAGUAAUAUUAUAAAGAUUAUUAAUAUGAUUAUAGCUCUAAAAUAUGUACACAUCGCCCGUCGCUCUCGCUAUUUCAAGGCGAGAAAAGUCGUAACACAGUAGUUGUACCGGAAGGUGUAACUAGAAUGAU